GCGCGAAAACUUUACAAUGCCGGCAACGGCGAUAAGGGGACCUCGAGUGCCAGGUUACAAAUCUGGCUGUCGUAAUGCCUAAAAAGCAUUUUCAUAGCAAGGGCCGGGCAAGACCGGUGCCAGCCGCCGCGGUAACACCGGCGGCUCGAGUGGUAACCGUUAUUAUUGGGUCUAAAGGGUCUGUAGCCGGCCGGAUAAGUCUCUUGAGAAAUCUGGCAGCUUAACUGUCAGGCUAUCAGGGGAUACUGUCUGGCUCGAGGCCGGGAGAGGUGAGAGGUACUUCAGGGGUAGGGGUGAAAUCUUGUAAUCCUUGAAGGACCACCAGUGGCGAAGGCGUCUCACCAGAACGGACCUGACGGCAAGGGACGAAGCUAGGGGCACGAACCGGAUUAGAUACCCGGGUAGUCCUAGCCGUAAACGAUACUCGCUAGGUGUCGGCCACGGUGCGACCGUGGUCGGUGCCGUAGGGAAGCCGUGAAGCGAGCCACCUGGAAGUACGGCCGCAAGGCUGAAACUUAAGGAUUGGCGGGGA
rnacentral:rRNA from 1 species